GGUGGUUUGUCGCGUUGUUCGUGAAAUCUCACGGCUUAACUGUGAGCGUGCGGGCGAUACGGGCAGACUUGAGUACUGCAGGGGAGACUGGAAUUCCUGGUGUAGCGGUGGAAUGCGCAGAUAUCAGGAGGAACACCGGUGGCGAAAGGCGGGUCUCUGGGCAGUAACUGACGCUGAGGAGCGAAAGCGCGGGGAGCGAACAGGAUUAGAUACCCUGGUAGUCCACGCCGUAAACGGUGGGUACUAGGUGUGGGUUUCCUUCCUUGGGAUCCGUGCCGUAGCUAACGCAUUAAGUACCCCGCCUGGGGAGUACGGCCGCAAGGCUAAAACUCAAAGAAAUUGACGGGGGCCCGCACAAGCGGCGGAGCAUGUGGAUUAAUUCGAUGCAACGCGAAGAACCUUACCUGGGUUUGACAUGCACAGGACGCCGGCAGAGAUGUCGGUUCCCUUGUGGCCUGUGUGCAGGUGGUGCAUGGCUGUCGUCAGCUCGUGUCGUGAGAUGUUGGGUUAAGUCCCGCAACGAGCGCAACCCUUGUCUCAUGUUGCCAGCGGGUAAUGCCGGGGACUCGUGAGAGACUGCCGGGGUCAACUCGGAGGAAGGUGGGGAUGACGUCAAGUCAUCAUGCCCCUUAUGUCCAGGGCUUCACACAUGCUACAAUGGCCGGUACAAAGGGCUGCGAUGCCGCGAGGUUAAGCGAAUCCUUUUAAAGCCGGUCUCAGUUCGGAUCGGGGUCUGCAACUCGACCCCGUGAAGUCGGAGUCGCUAG
rnacentral:rRNA from 1 species